AGUGAACGCUGGCGGUAGGCCUAACACAUGCAAGUCGAACGGCAGCACAGUAAGAGCUUGCUCUUACGGGUGGCGAGUGGCGGACGGGUGAGGAAUACAUCGGAAUCUACUUUUUCGUGGGGGAUAACGUAGGGAAACUUACGCUAAUACCGCAUACGACCUACGGGUGAAAGCAGGGGAUCUUCGGACCUUGCGCGAUUGAAUGAGCCGAUGUCGGAUUAGCUAGUUGGCGGGGUAAAGGCCCACCAAGGCGACGAUCCGUAGCUGGUCUGAGAGGAUGAUCAGCCACACUGGAACUGAGACACGGUCCAGACUCCUACGGGAGGCAGCAGUGGGGAAUAUUGGACAAUGGGCGCAAGCCUGAACCAGCCAUACCGCGUGGGUGAAGAAGGCCUUCGGGUUGUAAAGCCCUUUUGUUGGGAAAGAAAAGCAGCAGGUUAAUACCCCGCUGUUCUGACGGUACCCAAAGAAUAAGCACCGGCUAACUUCGUG
rnacentral:rRNA from 1 species